rnacentral:rRNA from 1 species
UACGUAGGGCGCAAGCGUUGUCCGGAAUUAUUGGGCGUAAAGAGCUCGUAGGCGGCUUGUCACGUCGGGUGUGAAAGCUCGGGGGCUUAACCUCGGGUCUGCAUUCGAUACGGGCUGGCUGGAGUGUGGUAGGGGGAGAUCGGAAUUCCUGGUGUAGCGGUGAAAUGCGCAGAUAUCAGGAGGAACACCGGUGGCGAAGGCGGAUCUCUGGGCCAUUACUGACGCUGAGGUGCGAAGGCUAGGGGAGCGAACGGG